rnacentral:rRNA from 1 species
UACCAGCACCCCGAGUGGUCGGGACGAUUAUUGGGCCUAAAGCAUCCGUAGCCGGUUCUACAAGUCUUCCGUUAAAUCCACCUGCUAAACCGGGAGAGGUCGUUGGAUACUGGCGAACUAGAGGAUGGUAGAGGCGUGUGGAAUUCCGGGUGUAGUGGUGAAAUGCGUAGAGAUCCGGAGGAACACCAGUGGCGAAGGCGACACGCUGGGCCAUACCUGACGCUAAAGCGCGACAGCAUGGGGAGCAAACGGG